GUCAGCAAUGUGGGGUCCAUUUGAGAUGCCACGUCAGCGGUCAACUGUCCAUGUCAGCCUGUCAACGCUGAUGUGGCCGUCCAGUCAGCGGUACAGUAGCUGUCAACGGUCAAACUGCCGGGUCAGAUUUGGUAUUUGCGAUUUCUGGGCCGUUCGGACUCCGUUUUUCGCGUAUGAGUAGUCGAUUUUGACUAUGUCGACGUUCCGAACGUAACCGCGCGCUCCAUUUUCGGAUUGGGGACUCCUAGGCUGGUGCGAGUGCUUAAUGGAGCAAGAAAACGCAUGUUUGGGGGCGGUUUGGGUUGCGUGGAGGCUUGGCUUGUAAGCAAAGAUACAUUACAUUCGAGCGGGUUUGUUCGUCUGGUAAUAGCACAGGCGCUUAUGGCUUGUUGCAGCAAGGACAGUCGGUGAUGAUCUGUUACACAGCUGGUAGGCAAAGAUACAUUGCAUUCGGGCUAGGUAGCUCGUCUGGUAAUGACACAGGCGCUUAUUGGAGUAAUAGAUCGAUUCCGAUGGAGAUCCAGGAUGCUGGGGAAAGCCAAGAAUGGAACAGGAAUGGACGAUUGAUGGAAAGGACGAUUGGCGGAGCAGACUUGCAGAGAUCGGAGGUUGAUCAGGGCAAACAUGCAUGGAGCUAGUGAGCAAGGAUACACUCAAGUUGGUAGUGACACAGGCGCUCACUAGGGCGAUGGUUUGCGGAGAUGAUUGACAGUGAUCGGAGGCAGUCUGGUUCAAUCGGAUUUUGUGCUUUGUGAUUGGGUACGGUGCAUUCGGGGUUCAGCCGCGGAAGAUCUGGUCUUGCAAGGAGACACUCAGUCAGUUGGUAGAUACACUUCCGGUGUGGGGGUGGUGAAACUUCUGAUGGCUAGCAGUGACACAGGCGCUUGACUAGAGGGGCAGAACGGGAUUGACGGACGCGGAUUACAGCAUCCAAGGGGUGAUGCGGGCGCUCAGGCAGCAGAGGAGCGCGGAUAGAAAUGGACUUUGCUGCGGACAUCUCGGGAUUGAGAUGUGGAGCAUCCGGGUUUGGAUGCGGAGCACUCAGUUGAGGGGGUGCAGUGUAUCGACGGUGUUGCCGAUAUGAGCCAUAGAUAUCUAGUCGAUUUUUUAGUCUCCUCGCAGGUGAUGUGUGAGAUUAUCUGGCAAGUGGAGCCUCUGGUGUGAGCAGGGGUAGCUGUGGUGCUAGAGUGGCGGAUUGCAGCCGGACAGCGCUGCGGAUUCAGCAAUUACCCCACUCGGGUGUAGGGGGUGAUUGUUGGGGUACACCCAAGUGGUGUGGGUGUGAGUGUAGGGGAUCACUCCCCUUUGUGUAAAAGUGCAGGUGUGCACUGUGUGUGUAUGUGCUGGAGACAGUGAGAGGCAGAGAGAGAGAGUUGAGUGGAGAGGCUUCCCUUCGGGGGGAGCGGGGCUCCUCGGGGAUGCCCGGAGAGACUGUCGGAGAGUCACCGGAGUGAGGGAGAGAGAGAGGAGUGGGAAAGUCGGAUUGUGGCUAUCCCGGUGAGGUUUUUCAUACUUGUAUAUGUGAUUUAUACAUAGUGGAGUUUUCCUCGAAUA